CUUGGGACAAAAUAAGUAAUCUUUGUACACAAUCUGUCAGAUCCGGAAGGAAGCAGCAGGGGUAUAAAGGUUCUGUAUUUUGUCCCUUUUUU
rnacentral:SRP_RNA from 1 species